AUUCCUUUCAUGACAGUGAACCCUGCGCUGAAGGCGUUGGGGCUCCUGCAGUUCUGGGGCAGCCACAGGCGCCCAGGGUUUCGUGCCGAUCAGCCCAGGACGGUCUUCCCGGUGCAGUUUCUGAUGCGGGGAGGGCAGUGCUGCCUUCCGGUCACCAGGACCAGUGCUCAGCCCGCCUGCUUGACCCCCUUACUUAGCUGGGGUCCAAUCCAUACCCAAUUUAGAUGAUUCAGACGAUGGGAUUUGAAACUUUUGAACUGGGUGCGACUUAAGCACUGCCCUGCUGUGCUACUCCUGCAAAGCCCAGGUGAGCAACGAGGACUGCCUGCAGGUGGAGAACUGCACCCAGCUGGGGGAGCAGUGCUGGACCGCGCGCAUCCGCGCAGUUGGCCUCCUGACCGUCAUCAGCAAAGGCUGCAGCUUGAACUGCGUGGAUGACUCACAGGACUACUACGUGGGCAAGAAGAACAUCACGUGCUGUGACACCGACUUGUGCAACGCCAGCGGGGCCCAUGCCCUGCAGCCGGCUGCUGCCAUCCUUGCGCUGCUCCCUGCACUCGGCCUGCUGCUCUGGGGACCCGGCCAGCUCUAGGCUCUGGGGGGCCCCGCUGCAGCCCACACUGGGUGUGGUGCCCCAGGCCUCUGUGCCACUCCUCACACACCCGGCCCAGUGGGAGCCUGUCCUGGUUCCUGAGGCACAUCCUAACGCAAGUCUGACCAUGUAUGUCUGCGCCCCUGUCCCCCACCCUGACCCUCCCAUGGCCCUCUCCAGGACUCCCACCCGGCAGAUCGGCUCUAUUGACACAGAUCCGCCUGCAGAUGGCCCCUCCAACCCUCUCUGCUGCUGUUUCCAUGGCCCAGCAUUCUCCACCCUUAACCCUGUGCUCAGGCACCUCUUCCCCCAGGAAGCCUUCCCUGCCCACCCCAUCUAUGACUUGAGCCAGGUCUGGUCCGUGGUGUCCCCCGCACCCAGCAGGGGACAGGCACUCAGGAGGGCCCGGUAAAGGCUGAGAUGAAGUGGACUGAGUAGAACUGGAGGACAGGAGUCGACGUGAGUUCCUGGGAGUCUCCAGAGAUGGGGCCUGGAGGCCUGGAGGAAGGGGCCAGGCCUCACAUUCGUGGGGCUCCCUGAAUGGCAGCCUCAGCACAGCGUAGGCCCUUAAUAAACACCUGUUGGAUAAGCCA